rnacentral:rRNA from 1 species
AACGAACGCUGGCGGCAUGCCUAACACAUGCAAGUCGAGCGCCCGUAGCAAUACGGGAGCGGCGCACGGGUGAGUAACGCGUGGGAACCUGCCCAGAGGUUCGGGACAACCGCGGGAAACUGCGGCUGAUACCGGAUGAUACCUGAGGGUCAAAGAUUUAUCGCCUUUGGAGGGGCCCGCGUCGGAUUAGGUAGUUGGUGGGGUAACGGCCUACCAAGCCUAUGAUCCGUAACUGGUCUGAGAGGAUGACCAGUCACACUGGGACUGAGACACGGCCCAGACUCCUACGGGAGGCUG